CAUUUUAUUUCAAAAAUUAAUAUCUCUCUCAUUUUUAAUCCAAAAAUUAUGGGACCAAUUGCAUUAUUUCCCAAAUAAUUUCUAGUUUCUAUUUCUGAUUUUUAAUUUUUUUAUUUUAUCAUUUGAUAUUUUUUGUGAAUUUUCUCUUUUCUGGUUAUUUUUAAUUCAUUUUAAAUAGUUUUUGAUAUUCAAAAAAUACAAAAAUAUUUUCCUAACCUAUUUGAAUAAUGA
rnacentral:lncRNA from 1 species